rnacentral:lncRNA from 1 species
GAAUAGGAGCACCAAAGUGCAAGUAACAGGAAUACCAUAGUACAAAAUAAGAGUCCUCUAUUGGCAUGUUAAUUGUAUACUAACCAUUUAACUAAGUUGGGUCUUGUUUUAGUAUUUCUAGAAUGUCUAUAUUAACAUCUUGAAUCAAGUUUACAAGUUUAGAACAACAUCUAAGGUAAUAAUCACUAGAAUACGAAAUAAUAAUUUCAUUCAAAAUAUUAAACCACCAAUUCAAGAUUCAAAC